UACGGGGGGAGCAAGCGUUGUUCGGAUUCAUUGGGCGUAAAGGGUGCGUAGGUGGCGCCGUAAGUCGGGUGUGAAAUUUCGGAGCUUAACUCCGAAACUGCAUUCGAUACUGCGGUGCUUGAGGACUGGAGAGGAGACUGGAAUUCAUGGUGUAGCAGUGAAAUGCGUAGAGAUCAUGAGGAAGACCAGUGGCGAAGGCGGGUCUCUGGACAGUUCCUGACACUGAGGCACGAAGGCCAGGGGAGCAAACGGG
rnacentral:rRNA from 1 species